GGGAUUGAAGUGGAAAUCCUUUUUGUGAGGCACGAACAAAAAGAUUGUAACGAAAAGCCCGACCCCGA
rnacentral:sRNA from 1 species